rfam:Cavia porcellus supercont2_98 genomic scaffold, whole genome shotgun sequence.
GGGGAUUUAGCUCAGCGGCAUAAGCGCCUGCCUUGCAAGCAGGCAGUCGUGAGUUUGAUCCCCG